GAGGAAGUGGGGAGAGUCUUUUGGGAACUUGAUGUUGUCUGAUGUUGCCAACGGGUGUGUGUGUGUUGUGGGUGUGUGUAUGUGUACACGCGGGCGCGACUGGUGUGGGACUCCGAAGUGGAUCUCACUUAGAGCUGGGAAGCAUGGAAGCGAGCGGGAGAGAGAGGGGGAGAGAGAAAGAGAAAAAAGAUGCCUAGCGUGGAGGACUGGCCCGCACUCCCGGACCAGCUUUGUUGCGGUCGCCCGGGGCGCCGAGGCCAGGGCUCGGUACCGCGGGCUAAUGGCUGUGUUAAUUACAACGGGCAAUUUAGGGCGGUCUGGAAGAUGGGGCCAAUUCCGAAUGAACUUUUCCGAAAAUGAAAAGAAUCAGUGUGUGGGGGGAAGGUAGCUAUCCCACACGGUUUGCGUAGAAAGUAGUUCUAGCCGGUGUCUCUCCGAAUCCCUGGCUGGAGCUGCUCCCAGCCUCACCUCCGCGCCGCGGGUAUCCCGGCGGCUGUGUGUCAAUCACUGGGCGCCCCGAGCUGGGGGCGGAGCUACGGUCUCCCCACGCGCUCCGCUCUACAUCCCCCGCCGUCCCCUGGCUCCAGGCAGCCCAGCAGCCAGGCCCUGCGCUCGGAGCGCGCCCUCUCUCCCCAACUCCUCGCUCUCGCCGUGGUUCAUGAUCCCAGAGAAUUGAAAACAGACUGUUCCUCAACAGCUGCCUCCUUCUCCAACUUUGAACCCAUUCUGGAGAAUAGAAAAAGAACUGCAAGAUUAAAAGCAUCCUUCGUAUUUGUUGCUGAGUUGCUCAUGGACAUAUAAGGAAAGGAUUCCCUCCAAGACUGAUAGGAAAGACAGGGCCACUUCUGGACUAUCUGUGAGGAUGUGUUUCUUUCUAUAAUACUGAAGCACUUUUUAUAAACCUUUUGGUGUAUUUAAAUAAAUCUAUUUGGACAUUAAGAGAA
ensembl:lncRNA